rnacentral:lncRNA from 1 species
GGGAGCAUAGUUCAAGUUUUUGUACAAAUGACCAUUUUUCUUCUUGUAAUCGAUUAAAAGACCCCUGUAAUCGAUUACCAGGGCAGGAAAUGAACAAUAAUGCUUAUGGAGCUCAUCUAACUUACAUGAAAGCACCUAAAAUAUCUUUUUACUCAACCAUUCAAUGGCCUAAUGUGUUCAUUUGUGCACUGAACACCACCCAUGACCCUUAAAC